AACGAACGCUGGCGGCAGGCUUAACACAUGCAAGUCGAGCGCCCCGCAAGGGGAGCGGCCGACGGGUGCGUAACGCGUGGGAACGUACCUUUUGGUUCGGAACAACUCCGGGAAACUGGAGCUAAUACCGGAUAAGCCCUAACGGGGAAAGAUUUAUCGCCGAAAGAUCGGCCCGCGUCUGAUUAGCUAGUUGGUGAGGUAACGGCUCACCAAGGCGACGAUCAGUAGCUGGUCUGAGAGGAUGAUCAGCCACACUGGGACUGAGACACGGCCCAGACUCCUACGGGAGGCAGCAGUGGGGAAUAUUGGACAAUGGGCGCAAGCCUGAUCCAGCCAUGCCGCGUGAGUGAUGAAGGCCUUAGGGUUGUAAAGCUCUUUUGUCCGGGAAGAUAAUGACUGUACCGGAAGAAUAAGCCCCGGCUAACUUCGU
rnacentral:rRNA from 1 species